AAGGAUUCCCCUAGUAACGGCGAGUGAAGCGGGAAGAGCUCAAAUUUGUAAUCUGGCGGCUUCCGGUCGUCCGAGUUGUAGUCUGGAGAAGCGUUUUCCGUGCCGGACCGUGUACAAGUCCCUUGGAACAGGGCGUCGUAGAGGGUGAGAAUCCCGUCUCUGACACGGACUGCCGGUGCUCUGUGAUGCGCUCUCGAAGAGUCGAGUUGUUUGGGAAUGCAGCUCAAAAUGGGUGGUAAAUUCCAUCUAAAGCUAAAUAUGGGCGAAAGACCGAUAGCGAACAAGUACCGUGAGGGAAAGAUGAAAAGCACUUUGGAAAGAGAGUUAAACAGUACGUGAAAUUGUUGAAAGGGAAACGCUUGAAGUCAGUCGCGUCUUCCGAGACUCAACCGGGUUCUCGCUCGGUGCACUUCUCGGUGUGACGGGCCAGCAUCGAUUUCGACCGUCGGAGAAAGGCUCGGGGAAAGUGGCACCUUCGGGUGUGUUAUAGCCCCCUGUCGUAUGCGAAGGUCGGGAUCGAGGACCGCAGCGCGCCCUUCACCGGGCCGGGGUUCGCCCACGUAACGCGCUUAGGAUGCUGGCGUAAUGGCUUUAAGCGACCCGUCUUGAA
rnacentral:rRNA from 1 species